AUGAACGCUGGCGGCGUGCCUAAUACAUGCAAGUCGAACGAAGAGCCCGGGUAGUAAUACUUGGGUUUCUUAGUGGCGAACGGGUGAGUAACGCGUUGGUGACCUACCCCAAAGUGGGGGAUAACAGAUCGAAAGGUCUGCUAAUACCUCAUGUUGUCAUCGUUUUUAGAAAGCGAUGAUCAAAGGAGCAAUCCGCUUUGGGAGGGGCCUGCGUCCCAUCAGCUAGUUGGUAGGGUAAUGGCCUACCAAGGCGUCGACGGGUAAGGGACCUGAGAGGGUGGCCCCUCACAAUGGAACUGAAACACGGUCCAUACACCUACGGGUGGCAGCAGUAGGGAAUAUUGCACAAUGGACGAAAGUCUGAUGCAGCAACGCCGCGUGUAUGAUGAAGGCCUUCGGGUCGUAAAAUACUUUUCAGGGAGAAGAGAAAGGACUGUACCCCUGGAAUAAGUCUCGGCUCACUACGU
rnacentral:rRNA from 1 species